rnacentral:pre_miRNA from 1 species
GGGUACAGGAUGGGUGGUCGACCAGUUGGAAAGUAAUUGUUUCUAAUGUACUUCACCUGGUCCACUAACCUCUGCUGGUACCUGAAG